rnacentral:rRNA from 1 species
CAACCGUUGUUCGGAUUCAUUGGGCGUAAAGGGUGCGUAGGCGGUCGCGUAAGUCAGGUGUGAAAUCCCGGGGCUCAACCCCGGAACUGCACUUGAUACUGCGUGGCUAGGGUACUGGAGAGGAGACUGGAAUUUACGGUGUAGCAGUGAAAUGCGUAGAUAUCGUAAGGAAGACCAGUGGCGAAGGCGAGUCUCUGGACAGUUACCGACGCUGAGGCACGAAGGCCAGGGGAGCAAACGGG